rnacentral:rRNA from 1 species
GGGUGCUUGCACCCACCGAGAAAGAGGAGUGGCGGACGGGUGAGUAACACGUGGGCAACCUGCCCAUCAGAGGGGGAUAACACUUGGAAACAGGUGCUAAUACCGCAUAAUUCUUUUUGUCGCCUGACAGAAAGAUAAAAGACGCUUUCGGGUGUCACUGAUGGAUGGGCCCGCGCUGCAUUAGCUAGUUGGUGGGGUAACGGCUCACCAAGGCCAUGAUGCAUAGCCGACCUGAGAGGGUGAUCGGCCACACUGGGACUGAGACACGGCCCAGACUCCUACGGGAGGCAGCAGUAGGGAAUCUUCGGCAAUGGACGAAAGUCUGACCGAGCAACGCCGCGUGAGUGAAGAAGGUUUUCGGAUCGUAAAACUCUGUUGUUAGAGAAGAACAAGUGAGAGAGUAACUGUUCUCACCUUGACGGUAUCUAACCAGAAAGCCACGGCUAACUACGUGCCAGCAGCCGCGGUAAUACGUAGGUGGCAAGCGUUGUCCGGAUUUAUUGGGCGUAAAGCGAGCGCAGGCGGUUCCUUAAGUCUGAUGUGAAAGCCCCCGGCUCAACCGGGGAAGGUCAUUGGAAACUGGGGAACUUGAGUGCAGAAGAGGAGAGUGGAAUUCCAUGUGUAGCGGUGAAAUGCGUAGAUAUAUGGAGGAACACCAGUGGCGAAGGCGACUCUCUGGUCUGUAACUGACGCUGAGGCUCGAAAGCGUGGGGAGCAAACAGGAUUAGAUACCCCUGGUAGUCCACG